AUAUUUGACAAUGGGUGCAACCCUGAUCCAGCCAUGCGGCGUGUGUGAAGGAGGUCUUCGGUUUGUAAAGCACUUUAAGUUGGGAGGAAGGGCUUUAGGUUAAUACCCUGAAGAUUUGACGUUACCAACAGACUAAGCACCGGCUAACUCUGUGCUAGCAGCAGCGGUAAUACAGAGGGUGCAAGCGUUAAUCGGAAUUACUGGGCGUAAAGCGCGCGUAGGUGGUUCAGUAAGAUGGGUGUGAAAUCCCAGGGCUUAACCUGGGAACUGCUUUCAUAACUGCUGAGCUAGAGUACGCUAGAGGGUAGUGGAAUAUCCUGUGUAGAGGUGAAAUGCGUAGAUAUAGGAAGGAACACCAGUGGCGAAGGCGACUACCUGGACUGAUACUGACACUGAGGUGCGAAAGCGUGGGGAGCAAA
rnacentral:rRNA from 1 species